GCAGACUGAAAAUGACCCCAAAUGUAUCAGUGGUCUGGGGUCAGAUAACUGUGCCUAUAGUACUGUGGUGCGUAAAGCUUAUCGCGUGUGUCUCUUGGUGGCUGCGUGAUAAAACCCAUGCACCAACAUAC
rnacentral:snoRNA from 1 species